rnacentral:rRNA from 1 species
CCUACGGGAGGCAGCAGUGGGGAAUCUUGCGCAAUGGGCGAAAGCCUGAAGCAGCCACGCCGCGUGAUCGAAUACAGGCCUUCGGGUUGUAAAGCUCUGUUGACAGGGACGAAUAAGCAAUGCGUAUAGUUUUGUGUAUACCGGUACCUGUUUAGACAGCUCCGGCUAACUACGUGCCAGCCGCCGCGGUAAUACGUAGGGAGCAAGCGUUGAUCGGUAUUUUGUGGCGUGAAAGGCUCGUAGGUGGGCGCUUAAGUCAAGUGUGAAAAUUCCGGGCGCAAACCGGAGACUGCACUUGAAACUGGGUGUCUUGAGGGUAGGAGAGGAAAGUGGAAUGCGUGGUGUAGCGGGGAAAUGCGUAGAUAUUAGGAAGAACACCAAUGGCGAAGGCGACUUACUGG